GCCCGGCUGGCACAAUCGGUAGCGCGUGAGACUCUUAAUCUCAAGGUUGUGGGUUCGGUAAGUGCUUGGAUCUGCCCUUUGUUCGAAUCU